GAUCCUGGCUCAGAUUGAACGCUGGCGGCAUGCUUUACACAUGCAAGUCGAACGGGGUUGGGAGCUUGCUUCCAAUCGUAGUGGCGAACGGGUGAGUAAUACAUCGGAACGUACCGUGUAGUGGGGGAUAACGUAGCGAAAGUUUACGCUAAAUACCCGCAUACGAUCCACGGAUGAAAGCAGGGGGACCUUCGGGCCUUGUGCUAUACGAGCGGCCGAUGUCUGAUUAGCUAGUUGGUGAGGUAAAGGCUCACCAAGGCGACGAUCAGUAGCGGGUCUGAGAGGAUGAUCCGCCACACUGGGACUGAGACACGGCCCAGACUCCUACGGGAGGCAGCAGUGGGGAAUAUUGGACAAUGGGCGCAAGCCUGAUCCCAGCAAAUGCCGCGUGUGUGAAGAAGGCCUGCGGGUUGUAAAGCACUUUCAGUGGGGAAGAACAGGUUCGGGUCAAUACCCCGGAGCCCUGACGUUACCCACAGAAGAAGCACCGGCUAACUCCGUG
rnacentral:rRNA from 1 species